AUACGUAGGUGGCGAGCGUUGUUCGGAUUUAUUGGGCGUAAAGGGUCUGUAGGAGGUUCGUUAAAUACGAGGUGAAAUCCCGAAGCUCAACUUCGGAACUGCCUUGUAGACUGACGGACUAGAGUACCGGCGAGGUAAGCGGCAUACCAGGGGUAGCGGUGGAAUGCGUAGAUAUCAGGUAGAACACCAAUAGCGAAGGCAGCUGGCUGGACGGAAACUGGCUCUGAAAGACGAAAGCAUGGGGAGCAAACAGGAUUAAAUCCCCUGGUAGUCCAUGCCGUAAACGUUGUCAACUUGAUGUGGGGGGAUUUAGUCCUCUCCGUAUCGAAGCUAACGCGAUAAGUUGACCGCCUGGGGACUACGGCCGCAAGGCUAAAACUCAAAUGAAUUGACGGGG
rnacentral:rRNA from 1 species